GUGCACAAACAAAUAUUUGUAUUUGAUGAUUUUGGGUUACAAUCUCUCUCUAUUUUGAUCCUCUGAUUCGAUCUCCGUAAGGUGUUGAUUUGUGGGAUGUGCGAUUGAUCCAAGGGCCGUCGAGGCUUGAUCUUGGAUGAACGAGGAUGAACGGAUCUUCGAGGGCUUUUGAGCUUGAUCUUGAAGAAUGGUGAUUGACGGAUCUUCAAGGGCUUUUGGGCUUGAUCUUGAAGAACAGUGAUGAACGGAUUUCCGAGGGCUUUUGGGCUUGAACUCGAAGAACAGUGACGAACGGAUCUUCGAGAGCUUUUGGGCUUGAACGGAUCUUCGAGGGCUUUUGGGCUUGAUCUCGAAGAAUAGUGAUGAACGAUGAACGCUUUCUUCAAGGGUCGGCCGUCGGGGCUUGGGCUUGAUGAACAGCGAAUGAGCGGAUUUGUUGAUGUUGUCGAUCCAAAGGGGCCGUUGGGGCUUGAUCCUUGAGGAUGAACAGUUGAUGAACGAUGAACGCUUUCUUCAAGAGGCCGUUGAGGCUUGGGCUUGAAGGUGGAUGAUUGUUGAUCCAAGGGCCGUCGGGCUUGAUCUUGGAAGAACGAUGAACGAAGAACGCUUUCUUGAUUCUUCGGGAACCUGGAUGCUUGAGAGCUUCGGAGUUUCAGAGCUUCAGAGCUUCAAGAGUUUUUGCCUAAUGAUUUUUUUGGUCCCUUAAAUGAAUGAAAUGGGCUUGUAUUUAUAGAAUUUUCCAAUGCCUAAUUUUGA
rnacentral:sRNA from 1 species